rnacentral:rRNA from 1 species
GGGGAUGUGGGGGCGAGCGGCAGGGGUAAUGGAGGGACGGGAAGGGUUGUUCGGGGUUGUUUGGCUUAAAGGGUGCGUAGGCUGUCGGCUAAGUCGGAUGUGAAUGCUCAGAGCCUAACUGUGAGCGGUCAUGCGAAACUGGCUGGCUUGAGGACUGGGGAGGAGACUGGAAUGGUCGGUGUAGCGGUGAAAUGCGUAGAGAUCGACCAGAACACCGGUGGCGAAGGCGGGUCUCUGGACAGUUCCUGACGCUGAGGCACGAAAGCCAGGGGAGCAAACGGGAUUAGAUACCCCGGUAUC